rnacentral:misc_RNA from 1 species
GAAUUGCGAUAAGUAAUGUGAAUUGCAGAAGUGAAUCAUCGAAUCUUUGAACGCAUCUUGCGCUCCCGGCAGAUCUAAUCUGGGGAGCAUGCCCGUCUGAGGGCCGCGAAUUGUUUCGAACGUUAGCUUUUUUCGUAAGAGGAAUAGCUGACGGAUCGGUAUUGAGGGUUUUGCCAUUUACAGUGGCUCCCUCGAAAUACAUUAGCAUGACAUUAUAAUUUCGAGUUGGUGAAUGGCCGACCGGGUUUUGAUAACAUCAAGGCUUCGGUGGCAGGACAUCACUUGAGAAAAGUUCAUCGCUUCUAAACCCGCCCUUACUUGCCAUUAGGAAGUAAUGGGAUAUUUUAAUUCAUCGGCCUCAGAUCGGUAGGACUACCCGCUGAACUUAA